UGGAUGCUAAUUGUUUGAGGUAUCGACCCCUCGAGUAAUAAAGCUAACGCGUUAAGCAUCCCGCCUGUGGAGUACGGCCGCAAGGCUAAAACAUAAAGGAAUUGACGGGGACCCGCACAAGCGGUGGAGGAUGUUCUUUAAUUCGAAGUUAAGCGAAGAACCUUACCAGGGCUUGACAUCCCUAGAACUUUUUCGAAAGAAAAAGGUGCCUUCGGGAGCUAGGUGACAGAUCCUGCAUGGCUGUCGUCAG
rnacentral:rRNA from 1 species